UGCCUCAUUCUGUGAUAUCUAAAGUCCAAAGUACUUAAUAUCAGGUUUUAUUAUUUUCUCAUGUAAACUACAAUCAAUCGUAAGCAACUAUACUUAGUUAGGUUAUAUUUUUAACGUGAACUCAGAUCAAUGAUCAACGCUUCUCAAAUACUAAUUAAAAUAGUAAAUAAAAUUGACGAAUAAAACCUUCUACUCAAGAAAACGGGAUAUCUUAUAUAUCUUGGCAAUUUUAAAAACUGAGCAGAUUGUUUAUCAUCAUAAGAAAGAUGAGGCAACGAUGACAACGGAUUGACGUUCAGUCUAAAACUUUCAAGUCUGACAUAAAAGCAGAGUCAGAAUGAAUUGACAAAGAAGGGAAAUUAAAAGAAAUAUAUGGGUUAGUUUUAUAUCUCGAAUCAAUAAAGUCCACUUAUAAUAAGCAAACACAAUUCAUUCGCCAUAAUAAGCGACAGCUGCAAAAUUUCAGAAUUGCAAAAGUAUUUGCAUAGAAACUCUAUUGCAUAUAUCAAACUUUUGGGCCGGCAUAGAAAUCGUGCUCUAGAAUCGGCCGAAACCGGUUUUGAAUUUGCUUAAUAAGAAAACGCUAGUCGACGCCUUCGACUCAAGUACGGAUUGGCAAAUGAGUAUAUGAUUAUUUCUGUGUGCUUGUCUGUUUCUAUGGGGUCUAUCGAUCUUAUACAAAUGCCAACAUUUCAAUAACUGCUUUUGUUCGAUUUUUAACAGUUUUUUACAACUCCAACUGCAUAGGCAAAUGUGCUAAACAUAUCCAAAAAAAAAAAAGAAAAACAACAGCGGCUUAAGAUGUCUAACUGGUUUCUAUUCGAUCCAACGAAUUGUGUUCACUUUUUGGCGGUUUUUUAUGAGGCUCGUAAUACUCGAUACGAAUACGAAGUCGUCAUCAAGGUCGCCAAUUUUUUCAGAAGUUGUGUGGGUAUUGUUAACAUUACUAUGGCGAGAUAGAAGCCCAAAUUGUUUAACCAAAUUCACUAAAAGCGAUAUCCGACAACCAAGUCGAAUGUCUAUUAUGGCAUCGCACUUUUGGUGUCAUUAGCACAUUAAACUCGAGACUGCAGUCGGCAAUAUUUAUAAGUCGCUGUCGUAUGUAGAUCCCAUGAAUCAGCAUUUUAAUAAAACCCUCACAAUGAGAACUGCAAAUUGUAUGAAAUCAAAAUAAGUGCGUGUCAAGCUCAACAACCUUCAAAUGACAGAGUGACAAAGCGCUCGACAGACCGACGGACAGACUGAAAGGCAGUCGGAUAGACUCGCAGACAAGCGAAUGGGCUGAGCAAAGAGACACCACAAAUGAUUCCCAAGCUAAUUGAUUGUUAUGCUACAUUUACCAUAUACAUAUAUCGUACUUCCCUCCAUAUACGACAAAGUACGUUAAUAAUAAUAAUAAUAAUUUGCUUGAAAAAUGUACAAGGCACACAAUACUACUGUACUGUAUAUGUGACUAUAAGUUUGCAUAUUACUCAUCUUAUUUACAUUAAGAUAUUUUUGUAAAUUCUGCAAGUAGUAAAAGUGAAAAUACAAGAUUAUAUAAACUUUGAAAAUUUCCAACGUUUUAUUUCAUGUCAGUCCUAUAAACAAUACCACACCAUUUACAAUUUUUCUUUACUUUUUUCGCACACUUUACGAUGGGCUCUAAAAAUGCUGCAAACUCCCGUUGCAAAAAAAACACUUUCAAAACAAAUGAUAUUAUCGACAGCUCUGGAGAUCAUUGGAUACAACAUAAAAGGGAAGCGGCAUUGCAUUGUUCGAAAGCUGGGAGCAGAGAGGAAAACUGAUCGAGCUGAUUAUGAAUGGGCCCGCCAAGAGGUAUAUUGUAUACUACGAGUAUACACUAUAUGAGUAGAUGGAAUCGCUGACGAAAUGCAGCAGCCGGAGCAACGGACGGUGGCAAGUGGUAAUUGUUUUUAUUGCCAAUCCGCUCGAGCGGCACUUGAAUGCCAGCCAAGAUUGUCUGACUUAUGGCUGUCUCUGGUGUGGCAGGUAGAUACGCCAGACAAACGGACAGACGAACAGGCAAAGGCAGAAAGUGUGUCAACGCUGCCGCGCAUGCGCAUAACCAACAACAACAACAACAGAAACAACAACAGCUGCAACAACAAGACAAUAAUAGGAGUACUCAGAGGCAAGCCCGCAGUUAGCAUAUUACUUGGCUGACCUGUGUCUGCGAUUGCAACUUACCACAAUAAUUACUUAUAAUGCGCACCCUGUUUACUUGCCAAAAAAAUAAUAAAAAAUUGGCAAUGUCAGUUGGCCAAAAAAGAGAUUUCUUGUUUCACUUUAUAGAUGUAUUUUGCAAGCGACCCACAAACACACACUUGUGACUUGUUCACAAAGGCAGCUUUUGCUUUAAUUUAUAUUUGUGGCUUUUUGGUGGUGGUAUUUGGGCAGGACGCGGCGAGGAGGCGAAGCGGGCGAAAAGGCGACGAAACACGACUGAUGAAUUUACAGCCAGUAAGAAUGAAUGGAAUGCUAAAAGACGCG